AUUCAGCGCAAAUGACAACCUAGAAGCCCAGGGCCUUGCCAUUUAUGUGGGGUCAAUUUUAAUUCUACCAAGUUAGUCGAUCCAUCUGCUGAGUAACCACGGAUUAAAAGAACAUCCAGCGUUUUAUUGACAUUAUUAGAUAUGAAAGUAGGAAGUUCUGAUAAGGAAGUAACAUUUUGAACAUGAACUAACUCAUCACCAAUACAGAGACCAGCUUCUUGAGCCGGACUUUCGACUGCAACAGAAUCUACAACACAGAAUGGCUUUACACGUCCUAGGAUUUUGGAUCUAGAUAUAAUAUCAUUCAUGUUGUAGUUAGCAGCAUUAAAGUUAAGGGGAUCUGCUUCUUGUGCAAGUUUAGUUUCAUCAUUAGCGGCUAAAGAUUCUUUGGAAAAUCCCGAAAAUACUUUUUCAAGUACCUUCUUUAUCUGAUCUUCUAGUUCUCGAUGAUCGUUUCUGAGUGUAAUAAUUUCAUGGCGUGCUGUUCUAAUACUAGGCACAUCAAUAUCUGAUCUUGGGAAUCCGUCUUCAGUCAAUAAAGGUGUGUCCAUUGUUACACGUUCCUAUAGCACUUAUUAAUAUAAAUCCAGGAUGGCAAAGCCAUAGCAUUCGUUUCAAAACCACAGUUUAUUACCUUAAGUAAAACGCCUUCUAAUUCAUUCAAUCUAUUUUCGAUUUCACGCUUUUUCAGAUCAAGCUGUUUAAAUUCGUCCAUUUGUUUAAAAUAUAGGAUAAUUUAAUCCUUUGUGAGAAUAUCGUUUAUUUAGCUGUUGGUUAGUAUGGAAGGCGACUAUAUACAUUAGGCGGUUUUUAAACACACGAACGCAGCAUAGCGUGCCUAGACACUUAACCUUUUUGAAAUCUGUAAAUAGAUUAAAAACCUUAUGAUCACAUUUUAAAAAGCUUCCAAAUGCAACUUUGUAAUCCUUACAUUACUUAACAAUGUAUAGUGACACCUACCAUGUUAACUUUUCAGUGUUUGCGUAAAGCUAGUAUGGUUCGGUUUGUUUUUAUAGUGAUCUUCGAGAAUCAUUAAUUUUGAUUAUCUUAUUG